rnacentral:rRNA from 1 species
UACGAAGGGGGCUAGCGUUGCUCGGAAUUACUGGGCGUAAAGGGAGCGUAGGCGGAUAGUUCAGUCAGAGGUGAAAGCCCAGGGCUCAACCUUGGAAUUGCCUUUGAUACUGGCUGUCUUGAGUAUGGGAGAGGUUAGCGGAACUCCGAGUGUAGAGGUGAAAUUCGUAGAUAUUCGGAAGAACACCAGUGGCGAAGGCGGCUAACUGGCCCAUUACUGACGCUGAGGCUCGAAAGCGUGGGGAGCAGACAGG